GUCUGGGUGGCGCAGUGGCUAAUGCACCUGCCUAGUAAGCAGGAGAUCCCGGGUUCGAAUCCCUGCCCAGCACA